GGUGUGGAGCGGAGAGGACGGAGCGCGGGGUCCGGGGAGCAAGGUGCGUCGACGCGGACACGGAGAGACGCCGACAUGAGGCCCAGAUAUCCAGGAUACAAACACUCCCAUCUUGCACAUCUGGAGCCGGAGGCUGUGGAGUAGCGAUCGUGGGAUGGAGCCACGGUAGUGAAGUCCUGCUCAACCAAUCAGAUGCUGUGAAGAGACGGAGCUCAUUUUGCAUCGGACAAGAUCCAGCUCUGUCAGGUACGGU